rnacentral:rRNA from 1 species
UACAGAGGUCUCAAGCGUUGUUCGGAUUCAUUGGGCGUAAAGGGUGCGUAGGCGGCGCGGUAAGUCGGGUGUGAAAUCUCGGAGCUUAACUCCGAAACUGCAUUCGAUACUGCCGUGCUUGAGGACUGGAGAGGAGACUGGAAUUUACGGUGUAGCGGUGAAAUGCGUAGAUAUCGUAAGGAAGACCAGUGGCGAAGGCGGGUCUCGUGGACAGUUCCUGACGCUGAGGCACGAAGGCCAGGGGAGCGAACGGG